CUGGGGAAUGUAACAAUGCUCUUCCCGAGCGCCAGAAUGUUGCACCGGGACAUGUGCAGAAGGAAGUCGGCUGUAUGUAACACAGAUCUCAUACAGGAGCUCUGCGUAGGGCUCUCCUGCGGUCAAAGUCGUGCCGAGCUCCGCAAGCAACAACUGGUUACUGUAAUCUAUUGCCAAGCUAAUCUGACCCAUUGGAUCCUCACAGGACAGUCAUGACAUCGGUUUACCCAUCCUCGUCUCGGUUGCUUUCUUGGCCAUCUUACUCAUUGCCCCAGUAAAUUGAAGAAUAACAAAUAGUUUGUGAUUAGGAAACUUAUGAGAACAAAUACAAACUACAGCACACAACAUCCAGGGGAAAUGGAAGAAUAAUUGGUUUGUCCUCUACCCAGCCAGUCAGAAUGGCUUUGCACGACUAGAGUUCUAUGAUUGUUCUGGGGGAGGGGCCAGCGACAAGCCCAACACCAAGAAACUCGACAAAAAAAUUAUUUGUCUUUCAGAGUGUAUCUCUAUCCUUCCCACCCUCACUGAAGCCCUUCCCAAAGACAAUAUGUCUUCCUUCUGUGUGGAGACUAAUGACAAAACACAUGUGUUCGCUGCUGAGAGGAACGUCAGCACAGAGUGGGUGGAAAAGAUGUGUGAGAUCGCCUUUGGGGGGGAUAGUGGUAGCAGCACUAGUGUCUUUGACUCCAACAGAGGACAAACUGAUCUACAGAUGGCUGAGAAUCUCAUCUAUUACACCAGAGAAGAGGGUAAACACACACACACACUAUUCCCCCUUGAAUUAUUGAGUGCAUUGACCCGUAUAAAAACACUCAUGAAUGAUUUAUUACGGGCUGAUCAUUCCUUAGCAACGUUCAUAGCAACUCGACCCUCUGGAGAAAGGGUGGCCAUUUUGCUACGAUUAUCUUUAUUAUUCAAAUCACUUCAGUAUUCCAGUUGUCAACACAGCCCUCCCUCCCUUCCACAGACACUGGACAACUGUUGACAUAGAUUUAUACGCAGAAGCUGGGGUGGAUACAGAAGUGAUGUAUUUGGUCGUUGAGGAAAAAAAGAGGCGUUUGAUUGUCCCUUUGUACAUUGUUGCAUCAUCUUAAUGAUGCAAUAAACAAACUUUCUGUGGAAGGCUGAGUGACAAACUAAAACGUCAGUUCGAAAAAUAAUACGCAUUUUAAACCUGCCAAAUUUUUUUUUUUCUAGAUUUGUUUUAUUCUAACAGUGUGAGAAGAGUAUUGAAGGCAGGCUUCUACAAAAUUAUCCUGCUCUCUGUCUAUGUUCUUCGUAGGACAGUCCCUGGCAUUGGAUUCAUCUCUCUUCUAGUGUUAAUUCAGUCACUCUCUCUUGAGGAAAGUGGAACGUUUCUUACCAGACACCCUAGACCCACUACAAUUCGCAUACAGCCCCAACAAAUCCAUGGACGACGCAAUUGCUAUUGCACUCCACACUGCCCUAUCCCACCUAGACAAGAGAAAUGCAUAUGUAAGAAUGCUGUUUAUUGACUUACAGCUCAACACUAUCGUGCACUCCAAGCUCAUCACUAAGCUCAGGGCCCUGGAUCUGAACCCAGCCCGGUGCAACUGGGUCCUAGACUUCCUGACGGGCCAACCCCAGGUGGGGAAGGUAGGCAACAACACCUCCACUACGCUGAUCCUCAACACAUGGGCCCCACAGGCGUGCAUAAUCAGCCCCCUCCUGUACUCCCUGUUCACCCUUAACUGUGUGGCCACGCACAUCUCCAAUUCAAUCAUCAAGUUUUCGGAUGACAACAGUAAGCCUGAUUACCAACAAUGAUGGGACAGCCUACACGAAGGAGGUUUAGAACCCUUUCCGAGUGGUGCCAGGAAAAUACCCUCUCUCUCAACGUCAACAAAAUGAAGGAGCUGAUCAUGGCUACAGGACACAGCAGAGAGAUCACGUCACCAUCCACAUCGACGGUGCCACAGUGGAGAGGGUCAGAAGCUUUAAAUCUUCGGCAUGCAUAUCACUGAGGAGCUGAAUUGGUAUGUUCGUACUGACGGCGUGAAGUAGAAGGUGCAACAGUGCCUCUUCAACCUCAGGAGGUUGAGGAAAUUUGUCUUGGCCCCUAAGACCCUCAAACUUCUACAGAUGCACCAUCGAGAGCAUUCGGCCUGGUUGUAUCAGCGCCUGGUACGGCAACUGCACCUCCCGCAACCGUAGGGCUCUCCAGAGGGUGAUGCAGUCAACCCAACGCAUCACCAGGGGCACGCUGCUUGCCCUUCAGGUCAUCAACAGCACCCGGUGUCACAGGAAGGCCAAGAAGAUCAUCAAGGAUCCCAGCCAUCUGAGACACGGCCUGUUCACCCCGCUACCAUCUAGAAGGUGGAGACAGUACAGGUGCAUCAAAGCUGGGAGGGACCAAGAGACUGAUAAACAGCUUUUAUCUCCAGACCAUCAGACCGUUAAACAGUCACCACUAGCCGGCCUCCGCCCAGUAAACUGCACUGAACAUGCUGUUACUAUCCGGCUACCACCCAGUACUCUACCCUACACCUUAGAGACUGCUGCUCUAUGUACAUAGUCAUUGGACAGUGGUCACCAAAAGAGUGGACUCAAGUCACAUGACUUGGACUCAAGUCUGACCUUGAGUCACAAAUCUGAUGACUUGAGACUCAACUUGAUAUAAAAUAAAAUAACUUGAGACUUGACUUUGAGCCCCAAGACUCAGGAGUCGACUAACUUGAGACUGACUUUGAAAUUAUCUGGCCAGGUUAUGUAAUGUUUUGUCAGUCAUUUUGUGGCUCACUCGGCUCUCUGAUUGGACCAGCAAACUGUCAAUCAACGUAGGUCAGGUGGAGCGCAAACGUCAAAUUGUAGGGAGAUCUGGAUUGCCAUAAAUUUAAUAUGCAGCUCUACAAAUUGUUUGGUGAUCAAGAAUAUGAACUGUUUACUUUGCAAGCUCACCUGCAAUGGGGUUUCAAGCAACAAUUACUAGCAUAGAUAAGCCAAUAGGUCUUUUGAUAAGUCAAAAUUGCUGCUUGAAAUCUAUAAUUUAUUUUUAAAGCUUGCAUUUGGAAUUUGUUACACUUAAUUAUUACAUGUUGUGGACAAAAUAAUGAAAAGGGCUGUCAGGUAGCCUCAAUAAAUAGACACAGAUUUAUAGUUGAACAAGUCAUUGCCUGUAUAGAUUACUUUUUUUUCUUGACUUGAAAAAUCUUGAUUUGACUUGAUCUUAGAAUACAUGACUUGGACUUGACUCGACCCGUUCUACUUGGGUCUCGACUUGAGACUUGGACCUUGUGACUACUGGACUACUGCUGUACAUACCUUUUCUAUUCAUAUACAGUGCCUUCAGAAAUAUUCAUACCCCUUGACUUAUUUCACAUUUUGUUGUGUUAGUCUGAAUUCAAAAUAUAUGUAUAUUUUUCCAUCUUUGGCAGCGAUCUGUGUGUCUCUAAGAGCUUUGCAAACCUGGAUUAAACAAUAUUUGCAUAUUAUUUUUAAAAUUCUUCAAGCUCUGUCGAGUUGGUUGUUGAACAUUUGCUAGAUUUAAGUCAAUCUAACUUGGCUUUAGCGUUCAGGACAACUCAAUGUCUUCUUGGGAAUUAACUCCAGUACCUUCGAAAAAUAUUCAGACUCCUUGACUUUUUCCACAUUUUCUUUCCACAGCCUUAUUCAAAAAUGUUUUCCCCUCAUCAAUCUACACACACUACCCCAUAAUGUCAAAGCAAAAAAAGGUUUUUAGAAAGUUUUGCUUACCGGUAUUUAUUUAAAAAAAAAUGAAAUAUCACACUUGCAUACGUUUUCAGACCUUUUACUCAGUACUUUGUUGAAGCACCUUUGGCAGCGAUUACAGCUUUGAGUCUUCUUGGAUAUGAUGCUACAAGCUUGGCACACCUCUAUUUGGGGGAGUUUCUCCCAUUCUUCUCUGUAGAUGCUCUCAAGCUCUGUUAUGUUGGAUGGGGAGUGUUGCUGCACAGAUAUGUUCAGGACUCUCCAGAGAUGUUCGAUCAUGUUCAAGUCCGGGCUCUGGCUGGGUCCCUCAAGGAGUCUUGUCCCAAAGCCACUCCUGCAUUGUCUUGGCUGUGUGCUUAGGGUCAUUGUCCUGUUGGAAGGUUCCAACAGGACCUUCGCCCCAGCCUGAGGUCCUGAGCCCUCUGGAGCAGGUUCUCUCUGUACUUUACUCCAUCUUUCCCUCGAUCCUGACUAGUCUCCCAGUCCCUGCCGCUGAAAAAUAUCUCCACAGCAUGAUGCUGCCAACACCUUGCUUCACAGUAGGGAUGGUGCCAGGUUUCCUCCAGGCGUGACGAAUGGCAUUCAGGCCAAAUAAUUCAAUCUUGGUUCCAUCAGACCAGAGAAUCUUGUUUCUCAAAACUCCAAGUGGGCUGUCAUGUGCCUUUUACAGAGGAGUGGCUUCUGUCUGGCCACUGUACUGUAAAGUCCUGAUUGGUGGAGUGCUGUUGAGAUGAUUGUCCUUCUGGAAGGUUCUGCCAUCUUCACAGAGGGACUCUAGAGCUCUAUCAGAGGUCACCUCAGGCCCUUCUUCCCCGAUUGCUCAGUUUGGCUGGGCGGCCAGCUCUAGGAAGAGUGUUGGUGGUUUCAAACUUCUCCCAUUUAAGAAUGAUGGAAUACACUGUGUUCUUUGGGACCUUCAAUGCUGCAGGCAUUUUUUCCAUACUCUUUCCCAGAUCUGUGCCUCAACACAAUCCUAUCUCUGAGCUCUACGGACAAUUAAUUCGACCUCAUGGCUUGGUUUUUGCGCUGACAUGCACUGUCAACUUUGGGACCUUAUAUAUAUAUAUAAAUAAGAGAUGUGUGCCUUUCCAAAUAAUUUUGAAUCCAUUGAGUUCACCACAGGUGGACUCCAAUCAAAUUGUAAAAACAUCUCAAGAAUGAUCAAUGGAAACAGGAUGCACCUGAGCUCAACUUCGCAUCUCAUAGCAAAGGGUCUGAAUACUUAUGUGAGUAAUGUGUUUCUGUUUUUUAUUUUUAAUAAAUUUGCAAACAUUUCUAGCCACCUGUUUUUGCUUUGUCAUUAUGGAGUAUUGUUUGAAUAUUGCUGAGGAACAUUUUGUAUUUAAUACAUUUUAGAAUAAGGCUGUAACGUAACAAAAUGUGGAAAAAGUAAAUGGGUAUGAAUAGUUUCCGAAGGCACUGUAUAUUUGGCCUUGUGUUUUAGGUUACUGUCUUGCUGAAAGAUGAAAGCAGACAACCAGGUUUUCCUCAAAAACUUUGCCUGUGCUUAGCUCUAUUCCGUUUCUUUUAUUAAAAAAAAACUCCAUAGUCCUUGCCAAUGACGAGCAUACCCAUAACAUGAUGCAGCCACCACCAUGCUUGAAAAUAUGAAGUGGUACUCAGUGAUGUGUUGCGGAGGAUUUGCUCCAAACAUAACGCUUUGUAUUCAGGAUAUAAAGUGAAUUUCUAUGCCACGUUUUUUGCAGUUUUACUUUAGUGCCUUUUUGCAAAAAGGAUGUUUUGGAAUAUUAUUUUAUUCUAUACAGGCUUCCUUCUUUUCACCGUCAUUUAGGAUAGUAUUCUGGAGUAACUACAAUGUUGUCGAUCCAUCCUCAGUUUUCUCCUAUCACAGCCUUUAGUGUCUUGACGCAGUGGUGCAUUUAUCUGAGUAACAUAGUAAAAAAUAUCACCAUAAAAAUACAUCAGUUUAAGCUGGGGAUGUUUUUUUUGCAUGGGCUGCAUCUCAAUCCACUACAGCCGUCUAUGGUGGCCUUCCGCAUAUACAGUGGAAGGUAGCCAAGCUACAGCGGUGUUUGUCCAGACCAUGAGAUCCUGAAAAUCGGUUUUCUCGCAAAAAAGUCUUUAGCGUCCGAACGGUUUGGCCUAAUUAUUAUGACCACUCUAUGGAAAGGGGGGACUCUCACGGACAUGGCAGUGUUCUCCAUUCUGCUCUAUGACCCACACAAGUGUCAUGGGACUCAUCUGAAGGUGACCAGUGCUGGUUAAAGUAUGGAGGUCGUUUUGUGCCUAACCCAAAAAAGAGGGUAAAUAUCUAUUUAAAAAAAACUUUAUUUUCUGAGCUUUCUUAUGCAUCAAAUCAAAGUUUAUUUGUCACGUGCGCCGAGUACAACAGGUGUAGACCUUACAGUGAAGUGCUUACUUACAGGCUCUAACCAAUAGUGCAAAAAAGGUAUUAGGUGAACAAUAGGUAGGUAAAGAAAUAAAAACAACAGUAAAAAAGACAGGCUAUAUACAGUAGCGAGGCUAUAAAAGUAGCGAGGUUACAUACAGACACCGGUUAGUCAGGCCGAUUUGAGGUAGUAUGUACAUGUAGAUAUGGUUAAAGUGACUAUGCAUCUAUGAUGAACAGAGAGUAGCAGUAGUGUAAAAGAGGGGUUGGUGGGUGGGACCCAAUGCAGAUGGCCCAGUUAGCCAAUGUGCGGGAGCACUGGUUGGUCGGCCCAAUUGAGGUAGUAUGUAAAUAAGUGUAUAGUUAUAGUGACUGCAUAUAUGAUAAACCGAGUAGUAGCAGCAGCGUAAAAAGAGGGGUUGGGGGGGUGGCUCUCAAUGCAAACUGUCCGGGUAGCCAUUUGAUUACCUGUUCAGGAGUCUUGUGGCUUGGGGGAAAAAAUGUUGAGAGCAUUUUUGUCCUAGAUGUUGCACUCCGGUACCGCUUACCAUGCGGUAGUAGAGAGAACAGUCUGACUGGGGUGGCUGGGGUCUUAGACAAUUGUUAGGGCCUUUCUCUGACACCGCCUGGUGUAGAGGUCCUGGAUGGCAGGCAGCUUAGCCCCAGAGAUGUACUGGGCCAUACGCACUACCCUCUGUAGUGCCUUGCGGUCAGAGGCCGAGCAAUUGCCGUACCAGGCAGUGAUGCAACCACUCAGGAUGCUCUCGAUGUUGCAGCUAUAGAAACUUCUGAGGAUCGCAGGACUCAUGCCAAAUCUUUUUAGUUUCCUGAGGGGGAAUGGGCUUUGUCAUGCCCUCUUUUCAUGGGUGUGUUUGGACCAUUCUAGUUUGUUUUUAAUGUGGACACCAAGUAACUUGAAGCUCUCAACCUGCUCCACUACAGCCCCGUCGAUGAGAAUGGGGGCAUGAUCGGUCCUCCUUUUCCUGUAGUCCACAAUCAUCUCCUUAGUCUUGGUUACGUUGAAGGAUAGGUUGUUAUUCUGGCACCAUCCGGCCACUCUGACCUCCCUAUAGGCUGUCUUGUCGUUGUCGGUGAUCAGGCCUACCACUGUUGUGUUGUCUCCAAAUUUAAUGAUGGUGUUGGAGUCGUGCCUGGCCAUGCAGUCGUGUGUGAACAGGGAGUAAAGGAGGGGACUGAGCACGCACCCCUGGGGUGCUCCACUGUUGAGGAUCAGUGUGGCAGAUGUGUUGCUACCUACCCUCACCAACUGGGGGCGGCCCAUCAGGAAGUCCAGAAUCCAGCUGCAGAGGGAGGUGUUUAGUCCCAGGAUCCUUAGCGUAGUGAUGAGCUUUGAGGGUACUAUGGUGUUGAAUGCUGAGCUGUAAUCAGUUAAUAACAUUCUCACAUAAGUGUUCCUUUUGUCCAGUUGGGAAAGGUCAGUGUGGAGUGCAAUAGAGAUGGCAUCAUCUGUGGAUCUGUUUGGGCGGUAUGCAAAUUGGAGUGGGUCUCGGGUUUCUGGGAUAAUGGUGUUGAUGUGAGCCAUUACCGACCUUUCAAAGUACUUCAUGGCCACGGACAUGAGUGCUACGGGUCUGUAGUCAUUUAGGCAGGUUGCCUUUGUGUUCUUGGGCACAGGGACUAUGGUGGCCUGCUUGAAACAUGUUGGUAUUACAGACUCAAUCAGGGACAUGUUGAAAAUGUCAGUGAAGACACCUGCCAGUUGGUCAGCACAUGCUCAGAGCACACUUCCUGGUAACCCGUCUGGCCCCGCAGCCUUGUGUAUGUUGACCUGUUUAAAGGUCUUACUCACAUCGGCUACGGAGAGCGUGAUCACACAGUCGUCCGGAACAGCUGAUGCUCUCAUGCAUGCAUCAGUGUUGCUUGCCUCGAAGCAAGCAUAGAAGUGAUUUAGCUCAUAUGGUAGGCUCGUGGUUACUGUGCAGCUCGCGGCUGUGCGUCCCUUUGUAGUCUGUAAUAGUUUGCAAGCCCUCCACAUAAGACGAGCGUCGGGGCCGGUAUAGUUUGAUUCAAUCUUAGCCCUGUAUUGACGCUUUGCCUGUUUGAUGGUUCGUCGCAGGGCAUAGCAGGAUUUCUUGUAAGCUUCCGGGUUAGAGUCCCGCACCUUGAAAGCGGCAGCUCUACCCUUUAGCUCAGUGCGAAUGUUGCCUGUAAUCCAUGGCUUCUGGUUGGGGUAUGUACGUACAGUCACUGUGGGGAUGACGUCCUCGAUGCAGUUAUUGAUAAAGCUGAUGUGGUGUACUCCUCAAUGCCAUCGGAAGAAUCCCGGGAACAUGUUAGCAAAACAGUCCUGUAGUUUAGCAUCUGCUUCAUCUGACUACUUGUUUUAUAGCCUGAGUCACUAGUGCUUCUGCUUUAAUUUUUGCUUUUAAGCAAGAAUCAGGGGGAUAGAGUUGUGGUCAGAUUUACCGAAUGGAGGGUGAGUGAGAGCUUUGUACGCGUCUCUGUGUGUGGAGUACAGGUGAUCUAGAUUUUUUUUUCUUCCCCUGGUUGCACAUUUUAACAUGUUGAUGGAAAUUUAGUAUAACUAUAUACACAAGUAUGUGGACACCCCUUCAAAUUAGUGGAUUUGGCGAUUUCAACCACACCCAUUGCUGAAAGGUGUAUACAAUUGAACACAAAGCCAUGCAAUCUCCAUAGACAAACAUUGGCAGUGAUUAGUUUCAAGCUCAGUGACUUCCAUCAUGGCACCGUCAUACAGUAGGAUGCCACCUUUCCAGCAAGUCAGUUAGUCAAAUUUUUGCCCUGCUAGAGCUGCCCCGGUAAACUGGAAGUGCUGUUAUUGUAAAGUGGCAACGUCUAGGACUAACAUUGGCUCAGCAGCGAAGUGGUUGGCCACAUAGGCUCACAGAACGUGAUCGCCGAGUGCUGAAGUGCGUCUGUCCUCAGUUAACACUCACUACCAACUUCCAAACUGCCUCUGGAAGCAACGUCAGCACAAGAUUUGUUCGUCGGGAGCCUCACUAAAUGGGUUUCCAUGGCCGAGCAGCCACACACAAGCCUAAGAUCACCAUGUACGAUGCCAAGCGUCGGCUGGAGUGGUGUAAAGCUCGCAGUAAGUGGAAAUACACUCUUGAGUGAUGAUUCACGCUCAACCAUAUGGCAGUCCGAUGGAUGGAUCUGCAUUUAGUGGAUGCCAGGAGAACACUACCUGCCCGAAUGCAUAGUGCCAACUGUAAAGUUUUGUGGAGAAGGAAUAAUGGUCUGGGGCUGUUUUCCAUGGUUCGGGCUAGGCACCUUAGUUCCAGUGAGGGGAAAUCUUAACACUACGGCAUUCAAUGACAUUCUAGACAAUUCUGUGCUUCCAACUUUAUAGCAACAGUUUGGGAAUGGCCCUUUCUUGUUUCAGCAUGACAAUUGUGGGAUCCUGUGUUUUACAUUUAUAGCCAUUACCAUAUAUAUGAUUAAAUAUGAUCUGAUGUUGGUUGUGUGAGGUAUCUGCAUUUGUGCACUGGAGCAUCAUUAUGAGAUUAAACAACUGCUUGCUACUUGCCUGUUUGUGUGUGUGACAAGAACUGAGUAACAUGGUGUGACCUGCAUGUUGCAAAACUGUAGAUAACAGCCCAGCAGAUGCUUUGUCCUUGUGUUUGUAUGUAACAAUAUUGAGCACAUGGUGUGACAUGCUAUAUCUUACAAAGUUGUGAUGGGGAGGUGUGGUCAUCACGAGGUUUAACUGAGAUGGAAAAAUACUGAACAACACAAUAGCAGGAACUGAGCAACUGUUAUAACUAGGCUGCGAUACCAGAACAGUAAGAAUCUAUACAUCGACGGAGGGAGCAUUCCAAGAAGCGCCAAGAGGCGGGGACCCGCCUGGGCGCCUGCGAUAGGCUGCGCAAGCUUAAACCACGCCCAGCCUCUACUGUGAUGGGCCAACAGACGGGUUGGAACUAUGUCCAUCACUGUAUAAGAACACUGUUUACAUACAUCCUGUCAGUUCCCUGUUCUGCCCUGCGUGGUAUUACAGUGAGCCCGUAUAUACGAAAGUUGCAUUUGCCAUUUAUUACUUAGCUAAUAAAAAAUACAUAGUAUACAAUCGGUGACUCAUUGCUAUAUUUAUCCUGAUACCAGAUUCGAAUUCACGCAACUCUAACACAAUGCCCCCGUGCACAAAGCGAGGUCCAUAGAGAAAUGGUUUGUCAAGAUCGGUGUGGAAGAACUUGACUGGUCUGCGCACAGCCCUGACCUCAACCCCAUCGAACACCAUUGGAACGAACUGGAAUACCAACUGCAAGCCAGGCCUAAUCCCCCAACAUCAGUGCCUUUCCUCACUAAUGCACUGCUGGCUGAAUGGAAGCAAGUCCCUGCAGGAAUGUUCCAACAUCUAGUGGAAAUCCUUCCCAGAAGAGUGUUAUAGUAGCGAAGGGGGGGACGAACUCCAUAUUAAUGUCCAUGAUUUUGGAAUGAGAUGUUCGUUGAGCACAUACACUACAUGACCAAAAAGAUUCCCUGCAUAUUAGACAGACACUUCAAAACCUUAUUCCUUA